GCGCCGGUGGUGUAAGGCGAACAUCGCUGCCCGGAAAGCAGAAGAUGCGGGUUCGAGUCCCGCCUGGCUUA
rnacentral:tRNA from 1 species